UACGUAGGGUGCGAGCGUUAAUCGGAAUUACUGGGCGUAAAGCGUGCGCAGGCGGUUUUGUAAGACAGAGGUGAAAUCCCCGGGCUUAACCUGGGAACUGCCUUUGUGACUGCAAGGCUUGAGUGCGGCAGAGGGGGAUGGAAUUCCGCGUGUAGCAGUGAAAUGCGUAGAUAUCAGGAGGAACACCGAUGGCGAAGGCAGGUCUCUGGGCUGACACUGACGCUCAUGCACGAAAGCGUGGGGAGCGAACAGG
rnacentral:rRNA from 1 species